UACGGAGGGAGCUAGCGUUGUUCGGAAUUACUGGGCGUAAAGCGUACGUAGGCGGUUAUUCAAGUCAGAGGUGAAAGCCCGGGGCUCAACCCCGGAACUGCCUUUGAAACUAGAUAGCUAGAGUCUGGGAGAGGUUAGUGGAAUUCCGAGUGUAGAGGUGAAAUUCGUAGAUAUUCGGAAGAACACCAGUGGCGAAGGCGACUAACUGGACAAGUACUGACGCUGAGGCACGAAAGCGUGGGGAGCAAACAGG
rnacentral:rRNA from 1 species